rnacentral:rRNA from 1 species
GAGUUUGAUCAUGGCUCAGAUUGAACGCUGGCGGCAUGCCUUACACAUGCAAGUCGAACGGCAGCACGGGAGCAAUCCUGGUGGCGAGUGGCGAACGGGUGAGUAAUAUAUCGGAACGUACCCAAUCGUGGGGGAUAACGCAGCGAAAGCUGUGCUAAUACCGCAUACGAUCUACGGACGAAAGCGGGGGACUCGCAAGAGCCUCGCGCGAAUGGAGCGGCCGAUAUCAGAUUAGCUAGUUGGCGGGGUAAAAGCCCACCAAGGCGACGAUCUGUAGCUGGUCUGAGAGGACGACCAGCCACACUGGAACUGAGACACGGCCCAGACUCCUACGGGAGGCAGCAGUGGGGAAUUUUGGACAAUGGGCGCAAGCCUGAUCCAGCAAUGCCGCGUGCAGGAUGAAGGCCUUCGGGUUGUAAACUGCUUUUGUACGGAGCGAAACGGCUCUUCCUAAUACGAGGGGCUAAUGACGGUACCGUAAGAAUAAGCACCGGCUAACUACGUGCCAGCAGCCGCGGUAAUACGUAGGGUGCGAGCGUUAAUCGGAAUUACUGGGCGUAAAGCGUGCGCAGGCGGUUUUGUAAGACGGAUGUGAAAUCCCCGGGCUCAACCUGGGACCUGCAUUUGUGACUGCAAAGCUAGAGUACGGU